GUCACACACUCAUUGGCGGGCAGGAUGUAGUCCGUAAUGCAGAGUGUGCUACAACGGACCACUGCUGUUGAUAACAUCAGGCCCCCUUCAUGAAUAAAUGAACCCACCGCUGCUGACUUAUGCUGCCUGGAGAUUUAGCCGUGUGAGGAGACGGACUCGAGGGCUCGCUGUGUUAAUGUCCUCCGUAUAGAUUACUGUGCUUACUAAUUCAUGCAGCGGGGGGUAAUUUAUCGGGCUUUCAUGGAGGUCUCCAAUGGGAGAUAAAUGCUGUCUGUCCGGCCCUCUGCAGAGACCUCUGUGAAUUCAUCAAGUGGAGGCUAAAUUGGUUUUCAUGGACUCCCCAGGGAAUUCUUUUUUCCCCCCGAUGGGUGAGCUCCGGAGGACCGCUGCACGUCGCAAUGCAAACCCACAUCUGAUCCGGGAAUAUAUCUUUUUGUUUCAUUAUCCUGGUCCUUCGUGGUCCAAAGUUCAACUGUGAUUUAUGAUUUAUAGAAACACCGGCAGUGACGAGAUAUUGAGAUUCAUCCUCCAAUGUAAUAUUUCCAAAGACACAUUGAAGUUCCACUCAUUUUCUUUUCUUGGUAAUAGAGCAAAACAUCCUGUUUGAUACAAAAUGAAUCUACAAAGAAGUAAUAACAUCUCAAUAGUCCUUUUUUACUCAGAUUAUAGCAUUCGUCUCACUAUAACGUUUAUUCCUCUUGAGACUCAAUACAACUUUGAUGUAGAUGAAGUCACUCCAAAAAUUGCACCAAAAUACAUGAGAAGUUUCAUGUCAAAGAAGGAUAACAGGACUGAUGCGCUUUAGGGGGAACUACUUGAUCCCAAGCAUGAAGAAGCUGAUAACCAAAUACGCAGAGAGAGCUUCUGAUUUACAAUACUGGCCGAUGUCUUUACAUGGAUGAUAGUUGUUCAUUAAUCCUCUGAAUGUCGAAUGGGGAACUUUAUUGAGGUUUGAGAAGAAAAAAGUAGGUGCUAAUCCGCCAGUUAGUGCAGAAAUGCAUGAGAACAGACUCCCACGGGCCGGCGAGCGCCUGUCAUUCGGUGACGGGCUGAAGGUUGAGACGAGGUUCCCCACCGGCUGCAUGGAACGCAGGAGACAUAUUAAAGCAUCGGCGUCUCCCACACGCUUCUCUGUUGGAUGGUGGUUGGAUGUUCUUCACUUUGCCUGCGUGACCUCUUUUGAACCGGGCGUGUUGAAGCAGAGCAUCUUCCUCGGGUCUCGUCGGAUGUGAAAACACGGAGAGGUAUAUAUAUAUAUAUAUAAUAUAUAUAUAAAUGUGAUAUAGGGAUAGCUCUUUCUGGAUGGCGUCACCAGGGGAGGACAGUCGUUUUGGAACAUUGUAUUUACUGACGGUUUCAGAGUCUGUUUUUCAGGAGGCCCACGGCUUGUUUUGCUGCCUGUUGCAAGGAUCAUUUCCAAUUUAUGUUGCCCGAGGUUUAUCACCAGCCUUCGGGCCGCUGUGAGCGGCGUUAGUGUAACCAGGGGACGGGAGGUAAUUUGAUUUUCCACAUAAACACUGGCCCAUUUAAGUCAGUUAUCCAGAUGGAAAAGUAAUAUUGGAGGGAACUCUGGGUGAUCCUAGAACCAUGAAACUUCACCCACAGUAAUAAGAAAGAAGUGCAAACUCAAUUCAGCACACAAU
ensembl:lncRNA